UUUUGUUUUUAUUAUACAAAAGGAAAUAUAUUCAACAAAGGAAAAUUUGCAAGAAUAACUAACAAAAGUUUAUAAAUUAAGAAAGUAACAGCUAUAUUCUAUAUUAUAUAUAAUAAUGACAUAUUUAUCCUUCUCUCUCCACCUCACUCAAAGUCCCUUCCUCUCUCAUCUUUGUGUCAUCUCUUUUUCUUUCUUCUCUCAAUCUCCUCUCUCUUUUUUUUUUUCUCUUUCUUUUGCAUUUUCUUUGUAUGUCCACGUCACCUCACUUCCCUUUCUUCUUAGAAUCUUCACCCAUCUCGUUUUUUUCCUAAUGAUUGAAAAAUUGUAAUGGCUUCAAGUCUGCAUUCAUCACUUUCUUCUAAUGGCUUCAAGUCUGCAUUCGUUAUAACAUAACAAACAAAUGAGAAGGACAAAGUAAAUUUUUCAGAUACCACUUAUGUUAUUCGGUUGCUUGGGUUGCCAAUGUUGUAUUUUAGGGUAUAGUUUUUUUAUACAUCCAAAAUAGUAUAGUAUAACAUUUUAUUUCUCUACAUCCAAAAUAGUACAACAUGUUUUUACUUAUAAACACUAUUUACUAUUUUAUAAAUUCAAAUCCGAUUUUAAAAAUUCAAACUAUUUU
rnacentral:sRNA from 1 species